rnacentral:miRNA from 1 species
CGUCAACCAAUCAGAUUUCA